CACCGGCGGCUCGAGUGGUGGCCACUUUUAUUGGGUCUAAAGCGUCCGUAGCCGGCUUGGCAAGUCCCCUGGGAAAUCUGGCGGCUUAACCGUCAGGCGUCCAGAGGAUACUGCCAGGCUUGGGACCGGGAGAGGUGAGAGGUACCUCAGGUGUAGGGGUGAAAUCUUGUGAUCCCUGAGGGACCACCAGUGGCGAAGGCGUCUCACUAGAACGGGUCCGACGGUCAGGGACGAAAGCUGGGGGCACGAACCGG
rnacentral:rRNA from 1 species